GAGAUGGCUCAACUGGUAAAGUGCUUGCCACUCAAGCAUGGGGACCUAAGUUCGAUCCACGGCAUCCACACGAACACCCAGCUGUGGGGCUGGGGAGAUGGCUCAGUAUCAGCAUUUUCUGUGCAAGCAGGAAGACCCGAGUUCAGAUCCCUGGCACCUAUGUAAAGAGCUGCUGUGAUGUGCUGGCAUUUCAUUCUUCUCAGAGCAUUCUUCUCCACGAUGUAUCUAUCCGCAUGAAUGACUACUUCACCACUGUAUUUUGAAGAUAAAUUGUCCUCUGCAGGCUGACGUGCUGAGUGAGAACUUGGAAGGAAGCCUCUGAGACCAGGAGUCCUUUGGAUCAGCUAUGCAGCCCUUGAUCUCCAACCCUGGGAUUACAGGCAUUCAUCACCACAACAUGACUGAACACAAGCCCCAACCAUGAGCCAAGAUGCCUUUGUAUCCCUGGGAGCUGUUUCCUUUGUAAUUCGCUUGGGAAGUCACAGGUUUCCGUGUGAUCUCUCUGCCCUUCCCACCUCUGGUAUCCCCCUUUCAUUUUCUUGGCUUGUCUACCCAAACCCCAGCCCCUUUUUCUCCAAUCCCCAGGACCUCUUCCUAGAUUCCUGGCCUUUACCCACUUGCCAGGCUAAAGACACAGAUUUAGCAGUGAGAGUCAAGAUCCCCACAUGACAUGGAUAUAAUAUGUUUGUCUUUCUGAGCCCAGAUGACCUCACUCAACCUGAUAGUUUUCAAUUCCAUCCAUUUCCCCACCUAUUUCAUCUUUCU